GGCCUCCCCCUCACCAUUGGCCUCCAGCUCCGGAUGGUCCCGCGUGUCGGUCCCGCUGAUUGGCCGCAGGGGGUUCAUUCACCACCUCCCCCUUGUUCCCCACCCCCCAGUUCCCCGCACCUAACACUCACACUCACGCCCCCGGGGGCGCGGCCGCCACGUGGGAGAAAGGCGCGGGGGUGGACUGGGGACCGCACCUCGCUUUUCUCUCCCCACUCCCUGCGUGGGCCCUCCUUCCCACAGGCAGUGGCGACCCCAAGAUAGGCCCACGACUAUGAGCAACGAACCCGGGAGAGCGCAGAUAACUCUUUCUGGGUGAGGCAGGAGAAGGAGGCUCAGAGUCUCUUCCUCGGUUCCCCUGUCCAGGGGAUCAGAGCUGGCUCUGGGAGGCGCUCAGGUUCCCCCAGAAGCUGCUCAGCCCCGCGGUUCCUCCUCUCCGAGAGGCCGCUGCUCUGCUUCGGGACUGGUCCUCCCCAUGCAUCUCGAGUCCCUGCAGUACAGAGCUGAGAGGUAAAACCGCGGUCUGGUUCCUUCGCCCCCCGCACGGGAUCCGGGCUCGUUAUGGGCUCGGCUCGGCUUUGCCUAUCCCCGCCCUGACCCGCGCUCUCCUUUCCUGAGGGCCCACCCAUCUCGAUCCUCGGCCGCUCCGGUUCCGAUCUGGGGCCUCUGGCUCCCCGGGAAAGGCGAGGCAGGCAGACGGGGAGGGUGCAAAGCGCAGAGUGCCGGAGCUUUGUGCCAGACAGAGACAGAGCCGGGGUUUCGAGGCCCGGCCGGGUUGGGCUGGGGCUCGAUCUCUUUCGUCUAUCGACUAAGUCAGCCCCACCGCUGCAGCCCAGGCUGUCAGAUGGCUGUGCUCCUGAGGCCCUGCCCUUUUGAUGCUAUGAGGCAGAACCCUUCUGUUGGGAUCUCCAGGAAAACACAGACGUGGAUCACAUGGGCUCUAAAAGUGUGGAGAGGUUGGAAUCAGCACAAGUGUAGGCAUUUGAGGUACUGCUCAAGUUUGAAAAUAUAUGUAAGUUACUGUGCUGGGGACACGGAGAGAGACAAUGACAUAUGGAAGCAUUGCACAGGGACAAAAGACACUUCACAACCCAUCGGCUUGAACUCCUCCCCCACUCAUUUCCACCCAAUCCCUCUAGGAUGGAGGAGACACUGAUGAGACAUGUAAAUUAUUCAUCCUGGCCAGAAACAAAAGUGGAGAUGUCAUCUUGUUUCAUUCAUUAAGGCUACAGAAGCCCAGCCCAGAGAACCUCAGCUGACAUCAGACCCUACCUUCCCAAGCCCUUAGAGAGAAUUACAGGUUUAAGUGACUCUCCCUGGGGUUUUUCCUCAGACUACUCUCCUUGGGAAGCCCCAAGGGAUAGUCUUAAGAGUGGAGUUUUUCUUUCUUUCUUUGGUACUAUUUGAAACUUGAACAUUGACUGAUAACCAGGGAUUCAGGAGACCCAUUUAGGCCACUGUCUGUGUGACCUUGAGCAGGUGCCUUCCCUUCUCUGGGCAUUGAUUUUUCUCCUCCGUAAAAUGAGUUAAGACUGAGGAUACUCUAAUAGUUCAUGACUGGUUUGGG
rnacentral:lncRNA from 1 species